UAGAUUUAAAAGUACAUACAGUUGGUAGGAGCAUGUCGUGGCUCAGUGUAACUUUUUCUAUCAAAUGAAAGUCUGCUUCAUUAAAUAUAAUGGAUAUCAUUCUUGAAACAUAAAAAAUGAAUCAUAUUCCCAUACGAGCAUCACGUGCGUGAGUUUUAUGAAAGUCAUUAAUAUUAAAAAAUUAUUUAAUCCAACUUCUAGCCACCUAAAUUGUCCAUUCAAAUUCUUCAGGAAUUACAAUAACAUGUCAUGUUAUUUAAGACAGGUGCAAGGGUUCAAUAUUGGACUAUAGGAAUUACGAGCUUUAACACAGGAAAACACAACAGAAAUCAUCCUUCAAUGGUGUCUCAAAGCAACAAAAAGGAAAACAAAAAAAAUACCUCUCAGACAGAUUUGGGUCAAAUGUCAGCACGAAAGAAGAAAGUACCCAAAGUGAAGCAGCUGAUAAAAAUUUCUUCUAGCUACAUGGAAAGUGUACAAAAUGAUGUUUCUAAGGACAAAAUUUCAGCAACUCCAAUUGAAAUUCCUGAGAAGAAACAAACAAAUGGAUUAGAAGACACAGUAAAAUGACUAGCAUCAACAAUGGAGAUCAUGAUGGAAGGAAUAAAUAAUCUAACAAAAGUUUUUGCAUCUCAAAGUCCACUGUUAACUCCAAUGCAUACUUAUUCGAUGAACCAGUUUACACACACCCAAUCAAAACGAGAUGAUCGAGUCUCACCUGUUAGCAUACCAAUGAAUGGAACUGAAAUUAUUGGAAAAUUCAGCACACCUGUCGAUGAUUCAACAACAGGAAAAAAAUAUGACAACACAGAAAAAGUUGCUGGGAAACAAGACAAACUCAAAAAAAGGUUGUUUUCAUUCACUAUAGCAGGAAAAGACAAUGGUUUAUUGUCUAAUUUGGAGCCUCUACAUAAUACACAUUACGAAGGUCUAAAUAAGGCAGUAAAAAUACCACAGUGGAUACCUAUGAUAUUCAAUAUUCUGAAAAACAUGAUAGUGGAUGAUAUUCAAUCAGUAGUUGCUGCUUAUAUAUUUGGUACAAAUAAGGAUGAUGACAAAAAUGGGAGAGAAAUAAUAAUCAGAACAGAUGGGCCGCGAGAAAUAGUCGGCUACAGAGACAAUUUGAAGACACUAAUACCAAGAGAGUGGAUCAAGAUGUUCUUAUCUUACUUGCUUCCAUGCUCACUGAGAUUGAAAGAUCAACUCCUAACUAUACUGAAAAUUGGUAUUUACCGACUACCGUUGCGGUUGGACAACUACACCAAAUGUUGUCAGGGACUUUUAUCAAUUCGAAUUCAUGGGAAAAAUUGAUUAUUUGUCCAAGAUAUUUAUUCCGAUGAAUGACAUGAAUAUGCAUUGGUAUCUCAUGCUUAUUGAUCUGAACAUGCAAAAUCUGAUUAUGUUGGAUUCUUGCCCAAACAACAAAAGAAAUGCUCAUUGAAGCAGAAAUGUUAGGAAAUUGGCUAUUUUUUUUUGGAAGAAAUGUUAUUGGAUGACUCAUUUUAUGAGAAUGAUUUCACCAAUAAACCCCAGUUUUUGGAUUAUACUUUGGAGGUGCCAAAGAACAUAGGACAACAACAACCUGAAUCAAAUGAUUGUGGAGUAUUCGUUGUUAAGUGGAUGAUUGAAGGAGCAAAGACACAAGAUUAUAAAAUAAAUGUUAACACCAAAACUAGGAUGCAAAUUGCACUAGAUUUGGUCCUACACAAUUACAACAAAAAUUGUAAUGAGAUCAUUAAACUUGCUGCUGCAAAUUGGAAGAAUCUGCAGGAAGAAAAAAAACGGCUUCAAAACUUUAUAUGACUGUUGAUAAAUUAUUCGACAUCGUCAUUUGUUAUAAUUUUUUCUCCUUUUAUCUCCAAUUUUGUUAACUGUUAUUAUUCCAAACUUUGUUACUGGUUCAUAAUUAAUAAAUAUUUU